rnacentral:rRNA from 1 species
GGACGGGUGAGUUAACACGUGGGUUAACCUGCCUGUAAGACUGGGAUAACUCCGGGAAACCGGGGCUAAUACCGGAUGGUUGUUUGAACCGCAUGGUUCAGACAUAAAAGGUGGCUUCGGCUACCACUUACAGAUGGACCCGCGGCGCAUUAGCUAGUUGGUGAGGUAACGGCUCACCAAGGCGACGAUGCGUAGCCGACCUGAGAGGGUGAUCGGCCACACUGGGACUGAGACACGGCCCAGACUCCUACGGGAGGCAGCAGUAGGGAAUCUUCCGCAAUGGACGAAAGUCUGACGGAGCAACGCCGCGUGAGUGAUGAAGGUUUUCGGAUCGUAAAGCUCUGUUGUUAGGGAAGAACAAGUGCCGUUCAAAUAGGGCGGCACCUUGACGGUACCUAACCAGAAAGCCACGGCUAACUACGUGCCAGCAGCCGCGGUAAUACGUAGGUGGCAAGCGUUGUCCGGAAUUAUUGGGCGUAAAGGGCUCGCAGGCGGUUUCUUAAGUCUGAUGUGAAAGCCCCCGGCUCAACCGGGGAGGGUCAUUGGAAACUGGGGAACUUGAGUGCAGAAGAGGAGAGUGGAAUUCCACGUGUAGCGGUGAAUUGCGUAGAGAUGUGGA